rnacentral:lncRNA from 1 species
UCUCUUCCUAUGCUUCGCCUUUGUAGCUUGAGCCUACAUAUGGCUAUUUAGUUGGGCAUGCCCUCAAAUCGAGAUCGAUCACAUGAAAUCUAAUUACAAAUGAAAGCUAAGUUUGUAGGGGCUUAUAAAAUUAAGAUAUUAAAUUUUCACAAUAUAUAAGCCGAGCCUAACCAUCCAUUAAACUCAACAAACUCUUCUUUGCC